CACUCCUUGUGCUCCAGAAAGGAAGUUUGCCUGCUAAUCAUCCGUGUCAGACCAAAAAAAAAAAGGGAGAAUCUCUUGUAUGGCUGGAAAGCCAUAGCCAUCUGACAGUCUGGUGGCAGAAAUUGAGUUCAGAUGAGAAGAGUGAUCUUUACUCAGUGAACCACAGUACUUAAUGCUGGCAAGCCACAGGCAGAAUCUGACUUUCAGGAGGCAGGAACUGUUCAAGGCAGCUGGUGGUAACUGGGCAGUUUGGACAGAAGGUAAUGUCACUUAUGUUCCUCACACUCUCAGUCAAUGCUCAAAUUUGCUAUGUUACAAAUGCUGAAAUGUAUAUUAAAAGGUCCAGCUACUGAAAAGCUAUAUUGGAUGUUGAUUAUUCAGUGUGGCCCUUUUACAAAAUUAUUUAACAGUUUGUAAGUUGUUUUCCAAAACAGUGUUCUAAACUAAUUUAUAUUACAGACAGAAUAUCAGUCUGAGGCAGAGUGAUCUUGAUUUUCCUCUUUCCUCAUAUUUGUGGCUUUAUUCUGGUAC
rnacentral:lncRNA from 1 species